GAGGAGCACUCAGCAUACGUGAAUUGAGGCGCCUCUCUAGCUGGUUAAGUUUGGGACGCGAUAACUCAGUGUCCGCCAGCGGACUUGCAUAGAAGUAAUCACUGGGUUAUCGCGGAGCGGGGGAAGAAACAGAGACUUUAGGGAGAAGGGAGAGCCCUGCGCAGUGUUUCUUGCAAAGAAAAAGUCCAUUCUGCGAAUCCUCCUCUAGCUAGAUCGGGGAUGCAACCCGUCCCAGCGUGGCCUGGCGGGGGCGGGGUGCGAGUGGGUGGUGAGGUGGGGAUGAAGAAGGGUAAUUUCUGCAGAGAAAAAUCAGUACCAGGUCCUGCAGAGGGACGAGGCGCUCUAUUUUGUUUUGCAAUAACGAUUAUUCUUGUUACUGGUCUCAUCUAUGGGCAUAACGUCUAAGCAGCCCCGCGGCGGAUGCGCACAAGGUUUAGCGCGCAGCUGGAAACGCUCUAAGUACUGUUGCGAAACGUACUGCAUAGACGCCCCCCGCGACGCCGAGAGGAGAGCUAGGCCUACUCUGCACCGAGCCUGCGAGCUCCCGACCUUCCGGAAGGCUUGGGCCACGAGCACGGAGCACCGAAGCAGGGUUUCUGGCCUUUGGGGGCAGCCCUGGCCGAAAGGUCCAGAAGCGAGGACCCCCAAACGCCGCGAGGACCCCCAAACGCCUCGAUCCCCCGGCGCAAUCACACCCAGAAAGCUCUAGGGGUGAAAUUGACAGAGGCCGGCCCUGGGGGUGCAACUGACAGUGGUUCCUGGUGGAAAAGUUCCGGGCAAUUGUUUCCGCCAGGGCCCUGUUUUCCUGGUCGCCAUGGCAACCCUGGAGUCCCCACGAACGUCCUCCACAAUCGGGCGCUUGGAGGACAAUCGCCGCGCACUUUUGCCGCGCUCCUUGAGGCCUGCAAGGCGCUUCCGCCCUCCGCUCUGGGUUUUCCGGAGCCUCCCUAGUGAGUUCAGCACCGCAGGGAUUGAAAAACUCUCCUUUUUUAAACAGGGGAGAAAAUCGCGAUUUAGGAGAAUCACUGCCAGGUAGGUUUGGGUCUCCAGCAAAAGCUCACGCUUUGAGUUGAAAGCGAUGCCCUCAGAGACGCGCGCGCGGGCAGCCGGUAGAAUACUUUUCACCCAAACCCUGAUCGCGAACGUCUCAGCCAGGGACCCGGAACUCACGGAGUCUCUUCACUUAAGCCGAUCACCCCCACGGGUACCCGAGGUUCCCCGCGUGGGUCUGGGCAACCUCGUCGCCUGCCUGGAAGAACGUCUCCUAAAUGGGAGGAGGAAAGUCGGAAACUAAAAUUCAUGUCUGCAGGGUCUUACAGAAAAAAAACAAUAAAUUAUACUCCUUUUCCUGCA
rnacentral:lncRNA from 1 species